rnacentral:lncRNA from 1 species
GAUGACUGCAGCUCUAGACUUUGUGGUGUUGGAUGCAACCACUUCCUCAGAUGUUCUCGAUACUACAGUUAGACUUAAUAGCACCCUGAAUAAAAAGAGAAAAAAAUGAAGAUUCUGAUUUGUCUCAGAACAGCAGAUGAGGAUAUUUGUGGACAAAGUGGAUCAAGAAUCAGUCAUCACGCAGCAAUUGGUUUCACACAUCGUUUCACUUUCAGUGAAUUCUAUUGUGUUCAGGCCAUCUUAGCGACAAAGAAUGUCAGUGCGUCUGAAAGAAAACCAUGCCAAUCCAACUUCAAUCCUGCUCAGCACAGCAAUACGUAUGUUUGAGAGAACCAAUUUUAUUUUAGAUAUGAAGUGUGUUUAUGCAUUAAUAUCAUAUUUUUGUAGUCACAUCUGCAAAAUUUAAAACAAAUUUGAGUGAAACAUCUCAGAAAAUUAAGCAUAUAAACAUCUGCAGGACUAAAAAAUGCUACAAAAACAUGUACUUAAUAUGAACAGGAUGAUUGAUAUGCAAAACAGUUUAGAUGUUAUAAAGUCCAGGUCCAGUUUUCUGGCUUCAUUCAGCUUUGAAAUAAACAAAAAUGUACAGGUGUGCUCUAGCUUUUCUCAGUGACACAGAAACUAGGAAUGGAUUCAGCAUUUAUCACCAUUUAUAGGUCUCCACCCAUAUGCAGUGAAUGGCUCAUACCUUGGG